UUGUAGGCGGUUUGUCGCGUCUGCUGUGAAAAUCCGGGGCUCAACCCCGGACUUGCAGUGGGUACGGGCAGACUAGAGUGUGGUAGGGGAGACUGGAAUUCCUGGUGUAGCGGUGAAAUGCGCAGAUAUCAGGAGGAACACCGAUGGCGAAGGCAGGUCUCUGGGCCACUACUGACGCUGAGAAGCGAAAGCAUGGGGAGCGAACAGGAUUAGAUACCCUGGUAGUCCAUGCCGUAAACGUUGGGCGCUAGGUGUGGGACUCAUUCCACGAGUUCCGUGCCGCAGCUAACGCAUUAAGCGCCCCGCCUGGGGAGUACGGCCGCAAGGCUAAAACUCAAAGGAAUUGACGGGGGCCCGCACAAGCGGCGGAGCAUGCGGAUUAAUUCGAUGCAACGCGAAGAACCUUACCAAGGCUUGACAUAUACCGGAAACUUCCAGAGAUGGUUGCCCCCUUUGGGUCGGUAUACAGGUGGUGCAUGGUUGUCGUCAGCUCGUGUCGUGAGAUGUUGGGUUAAGUCCCGCAACGAGCGCAACCCUCGUUCUAUGUUGCCAGCACGUUAUGGUGGGGACUCAUGGAAGACUGCCGGGGUCAACUCGGAGGAAGGUGGGGAUGACGUCAAAUCAUCAUGCCCCUUAUGUCUUGGGCUUCACGCAUGCUACAAUGGCCGGUACAAAGGGCUGCGAUGCCGUAAGGUGGAGCGAAUCCCAAAAAACCGGUCUCAGUUCGGAUUGGGGUCUGCAACUCGACCCCAUGAAGUCGGAGUCGCU
rnacentral:rRNA from 1 species